rnacentral:misc_RNA from 1 species
GCGCCGGAGGCACGACCCGGCCAAUUAAGGCCAGGAGCGCAUCGCCGACAGAAGGGACGAGACGACCGGUGCACACCUAGGGCGGACCGGCCCCCCUCCUCUGUCUAUCGCUUCGGAAUUAUACCAAAGAGAAAUUAAUCGUUAAGGAUGGGCCGCGGAGUGAGUGCUGGGGGCGGUCAGAGUUCCUUGGGCUACCUGUUUGGAAGUGGAGAGCCUGCUAACAAUUCUCAGACUGCUCGCAACCAGGAAAAGGCUCCGACUAAUGAGCCUGUCUCAAGGCCAGCUGCUGCUGCACAACCUGUGGAUAACACCAAGAAUGUACCAGCAGGCAUUCACAGUAACAACACAAACAACUAUUUUCGUGCUGAUGGCCAGAACUGCGGCAACUUUCUAACGGAAAGGCGUUCAACCAAGGUCCAAGCAGCACCUGGUGGUGGAUCUUCCUUGGGUUAUUUAUUUGGUGACGGCAGCAGCAAGUGAUGUCACUGGACAUCAAGUUUCAAAAGUUUGCUUUCCCAGUUAUGUUGAAAGUAUGAAUGGAUGUCGUUUACUGCAAAUUUGAAACUUCUUUUCACAAUUGUAAUAGUGUCUAAUUGACACUGGAUUCAAACUGCUAUGUAAGUGCUGAAUGCUGUAUUACCCAUUAUUUCUGUAUCAUGCGAGUUAAAAACACACUUUUUCUUUAGUUUAAUCUGUUGA